GCAUAUCAAUAAGCGGAGGAAAAGAAACCAACAGGGAUUGCCUCAGUAACGGCGAGUGAAGCGGCAACAGCUCAAAUUUGAAAUCUGGCCUCGGCCCGAGUUGUAAUUUGGAGAGGAUGCUUCGGGCGCGACGCCUUCCAAGUCCCCUGGAACGGGGCGCCGGAGAGGGUGAGAGCCCCGUACGGUUGGACGUCAAGCCUGUGUGAAGCUCCUUCGACGAGUCGAGUAGUUUGGGAAUGCUGCUCUAAACGGGAGGUGGACCCCUUCUAAAGCUAAAUACCGGCUGGAGACCGAUAGCGCACAAGUAGAGUGAUCGAAAGAUGAAAAGAACUUUGAAAAGAGGGUUAAACAGUACGUGAAAUUGUUGAAAGGGAAGCGCUUGUGACCAGACUUGCGCCGGGGUGAUCAUCGGGCGUUCUCGCCCGUGCACUCGCCCCGGCUCAGGCCAGCGUCGGUUCGGGAGGGGGGACAAAGGCGCCGGGCACGUAGCUCCUCGGAGUGUUAUAGCCCGGCGUGUCAUGCUCCCGCCCGGACCGUGGCUCGCGCUCUGCAAGGACGCUGGCGUAAUGGUCAUCAGCGGCCCGUCUUGAAACACGGACCAAGGAGUCGAGGUUCUGCGCGAGUGUAUGGGUGCCAAACCCGCACGCGCAAUGAAAGUGAACGUAGGUGGGAGCCUCGGCGCACCACCGACCGAUCCUGAUGUUCUCGGAUGGAUUUGAGUACGAGCGCAGGGCCUCGGACCCGAAAGAUGGUGAACUAUGCUUGGAUAGGGUGAAGCCAGAGGAAACUCUGGUGGAGGCUCGCAGCGGUUCUGACGUGCAAAUCGAUCGUCAAAUCUGAGCAUGGGGGCGAAAGACUAAUCGAACCAUCUAGUAGCUGGUUACCGCCGA
rnacentral:rRNA from 1 species